CAGGAGGCGGGGAGAUGAAGAGCCAAUGAGCAUGAAGGGCAUUUAUCACUUUUUCCUCUGAAUAUGUGAAACAACAGAUUUUAUCGGCACGCAAAGAUGACAACUAUAGGCAGACAUUUUUCCACAAUGGCUUGUGCACUAGUAUAGUUCAAACUCCAAACACCUUGAUUUGGGGCUGUGAUUCUCUGCUGAUAUGAUGACUUCAGAUGCCCUAUCAGCUCUUUUCUUUGUCUCAUAUAGGUGGAUCCACAGAACAGAAUUAUUCCUGCAGCUUUCCCUGAACCCAAUGGUUUACUUGCAGUUCUAUCUAGCUUAAACAGUUUUACCCAGGCUUCUGAAAGGCAGGACAGCAAACUGAUACCACCAGUGGAAUAAAAGAAGAAAU